rnacentral:rRNA from 1 species
AUGCGUGUACAAAAAAGUAACGGAGGUAUGGGAUUUUGAGACCUUCAUGCUUUUAACCUUGCCUUGCUUGCAAAACAGAGUUGGAGAUUGGUAACCCAUCCAGAUACUCUCUAUGCAAAGGAUCUUCGUGCAAAAUACUAUCCAUACGGUAAUUUGCUUAAAGUAGGAGUGAAGAAGGGGUCUUCAUUCACAUGGCAAAGUAUUGUCUCGGGUCUCCAAACUUUUAAAAGGGGACACAUUUGGAGAGUUGGUACUGGCAUGCAAAUAGAUAUCUAGAAUGAUCAUUGGGUGCAGGGUAGUCCAACAAGGAAAGUCCUCACAAGUAGAGGUAAUAGUUUGGUUGACAAAGUAAACGACCUCAUUGAUCCGGUUACAGGGACAUGGGAUGAGAUGCUAAUUAGGGAUAUAUUCCUUGAUGUUGAUGCUGAGAGAAUUCUAAAGAUACCUCUAUCUAAACACUUGACAGAAGACUUUAUGGCAUGGAGUGCAACAAAAUCCUUUAGUUUUUCUGUCAGGUUAGCAUAUUACAUUGAGUGGGAGCAUUAG